rnacentral:rRNA from 1 species
AGAGUUUGAUCCUGGCUCAGGAUGAACGCUAGCUACAGGCUUAACACAUGCAAGUCGAGGGGAAACGACAUCGAAAGCUUGCUUUUGAUGGGCGUCGACCGGCGCACGGGUGAGUAACGCGUAUCCAACCUGCCCAUCACUUGGGGAUAACCUUGCGAAAGUAAGACUAAUACCCAAUGAUAUCUCUAGAAGGCAUCUGAAAGAGAUUAAAGAUUUAUCGGUGAUGGAUGGGGAUGCGUCUGAUUAGCUUGGUUGGCGGGGUAACGGCCACAAGCAACGNUCAGUAGGGUCUGAGAGGAGUCCCCACAUUGGAACUGAGACACGGUCCAAACGUCCUACGGGAGGCA